GAUGAACGCUGGCGGCGUGCUUAACACAUGCAAGUCGAACGGAAAGGCCCAAGCUUGCUUGGGUACUCGAGUGGCGAACGGGUGAGUAACACGUGGGUGAUCUGCCCUGCACUUCGGGAUAAGCCUGGGAAACUGGGUCUAAUACCGGAUAGGACGAUGGUUUGGAUGCCAUUGUGGAAAGUUUUUUCGGUGUGGGAUGAGCUCGCGGCCUAUCAGCUUGUUGGUGGGGUAAUGGCCUACCAAGGCGUCGACGGGUAGCCGGCCUGAGAGGGUGUACGGCCACAUUGGGACUGAGAUACGGCCCAGACUCCUACGGGAGGCAGCAGUGGGGAAUAUUGCACAAUGGGCGCAAGCCUGAUGCAGCGACGCCGCGUGGGGGAUGACGGCCUUCGGGUUGUAAACUCCUUUCGCUAGGGACGAAGCGCUUUUGUGACGGUACCUGGAGAAGAAGCACCGGCUAACUACGU
rnacentral:rRNA from 1 species